rnacentral:rRNA from 1 species
AUUGAACGCUGGCGGCAUGCCUAACACAUGCAAGUCGAACGGCAACGGAAUCUAGCUUGCUAGAUAGACGGCGAGUGGCGAACGGGUGAGUAACGCGUAGGAAUAUACCCUGAAGAGUGGGACAACUUGGGGAAACUCAAGCUAAUACCGCAUAAGCUCUUAGGAGGAAAGCUGGGGACCUUAGGGCCUGGCGCUUCAGGAAUAGCCUGCGUCCGAUUAGCUAGUUGGUGGGGUAAGGGCCUACCAAGGCGACGAUCGGUAGCUGGUCUGAGAGGAUGGUCAGCCACACGGGGACUGAGACACGGCCCAGACUCCUACGGGAGGCAGCAGUGGGGAAUAUUGGACAAUGGGGGGAACCCUGAUCCAGCAAUGCCGCGUGUGUGAAGAAGGCCUGAGGGUUGUAAAGCACUUUCGGUGGGGAGGAGGAUUAUUUGGUUAAGAGCUGAAUGAUUGGACGUUACCCACAGAAGAAGCACCGGCUAACUCCGUGCCAGCCGCCGCCGGUAA